AUGGAGGACGCCGACUCGGCGGCGAAGCAGCUGGGCUUAGCGGAGGCGGCGGCAGUGGCGGCCGCAGUGGCGGCUGCGGCAGGACCCGAGCAGCAGCCGCCUCAAACGGCGGCCUCGGAGUCGGAGCCGGACCCCGACCCCGAGGAGGAAGAGGAGGAGGAGGAGGCGGCGGCGGCGCAGGUGACGGCGGUGACGGUGAUGGCGGCAGAUGCCGAGCACAUGGAGAUGGGAGCCGAACCCCUGCCGAGCGCCGACGAGGCUGCCGCCGCCUUCGCAGAAGUCACCACAGUGACAGUGGCCAACGUUGGUGCCUCCGCAGACAAUGUUUUCACUACAUCUGUGGCAAAUGCAGCUUCAAUUUCAGGACAUGUGCUGUCUGGAAGGACGGCCCUACAAAUCGGGGACAGCUUGAACACCGAGAAAGCCACGCUCAUCGUGGUUCACACGGACGGCAGCAUCGUCGAAACCACCGGGCUGAAGGGGCCGUCGGCACCUCUCACCCCAGGACCACAAUCUCCUCCUACCCCUUUAACAUCUGUCCAAGAGAAAACUGGAACCAAGUACAACUGGGACCCGUCUGUGUAUGAGAACGAGCUCCCGGUGAGGUGUCGGAACAUCAGCGGCAUUCUGUAUAAAAACAGACUCGGCUCAGGAGGCCGCGGCAGGUGCAUUAAGCAAGGGGACAACUGGUACAGCCCCACGGAGUUUGAAGCGAUGGCGGGACGGGCCAGCAGCAAGGACUGGAAGAGGAGCAUCCGCUACGCUGGGCGGCCCCUGCAGUGCCUUAUUCACGACGGGAUUUUAAAUCCUCACGCUGCCUCUUGUACUUGUGCUGCUUGCUGCGAUGACAUGACUCUGAGCGGCCCUGUACGACUCUUCGUGCCAUAUAAAAGGCGAAAAAAAGAAAAUGAAAUGCCUGCGACUCCAGCGAAGAAGGACUGCCCCAAAAACAUCACUCUGCUUCCUGCCACAGCUGCCACCACAUUCACCGUGAGUCCCUCUGGGCAGAUCACUACCUCCGGCGCCCUGACCUUCGACCGCGCGUCCACAGUGGAAGCCACAGCGAUUAUCUCGGAAAGUCCAUCCCAGGGAGACGUUUUCACUGGAGCUGCUGUUCAGGACACCAACGUGCAGCAGCCGUGCCGGGUCAGUCACCCCGAGCCCCACUACCCCAGUUACCAGGACAACUGCCAGAUCUCCCCGUUUCCUGAAGCUGCGCUGCCAACGGCUCACCCCAAAAUCGUGCUAACCUCGCUCCCUGCCCUGGCGGUGCCCCCCACCACCCCCACCAAAGCCAUCUCGCCCUCGGUGGUGAACGGGCUGGAGGUGACGGAGCAGCGCAGCUGGCUGUACCUGGAGGAGAUGGUCAACUCCUUGCUCAGCACCGCCCAGCAGCUGAAGACGCUCAUCGAGCAGGCCAAGCAGGCCAGCUCCUCCUUCCGCGAGGCGGCCGUCACACAAGCCAAAAUCCAAGCUGAUGUGGAGAGGAAAGAGCAAUAUCAGAACCAGUUAUUUCAACAAACGGAAGAUGUGGAUGGGAAAACGGAAAUCAUCAUCAAGCAGUCUUGUGUCAACUGUGGCCGUGAGGCAACGAACGAGUGCACAGGAUGCCAUAAAGUCAACUACUGCUCCACGUUCUGCCAGCGCAAGGACUGGAAGGACCACCAGCACAUCUGCGGCCAGUCGGCCGCGGUGACGGUGCAAGCCGACGAGGUGCACGUUGCGGACAGCGUCAUGGAGAAAGUCGCCGUCUGAGCACAGCUACCUCUUCAGCCGUUCGCCAACAGCGAGGGGCGGCCGGCUGGAUCGGCAGCCCGGCGUGAACGGUCUGUCCGUUACAAACCACACUCUUCGCACUAGCAAACUCAUUUUUGAAAGAGUUUUUUUUGAUACUGUGACAGCAUUUGCCUACUCCUGAUCCUCUUCCAAAACUCUGAAUAGCACAGAGACUGUGAAAACCUCAUCUGGAAGAAACAAGCCCCUCCUAAGUGCGGCCUGGCAGCUGGGAGCCGCCCUCGGCUUCACCGUUUCCAGACUGGAACCUCCACCAUGUGGAUUACAGCGCCCUCAUCAUCUCUCUUGAGAUGGAUCUAAAGCAGAAUGGAGCGUGUCUUUCGCUUGCCAGGCAGAGCUCCUCCCUGGAGGUGCAGGCGAACGCUGGUUUAGAGGUGCUGUUCUCCUGAGCAUCACUCCAUUUCAUCCCCACUAUGGCUGAAACAGGAGCUAAAGGUAUCUCCUUGCAGGGAGGGCUGGAUUCAGACCUGAGCACUUCACCCGGCCUCUUCUCCAGCACCGAGCAGCCACCACAAACCAAACUGACGAGCUGAAUCAGAAAAAACAACCCUCAAAUUUUUGCCAAGCUCACUGGGAUCCUGAUGAGUUCAGUUCAGAUGAUGAGUGAGGCAAUUUGAUUGUGGGCUACAGUUUUCAAAAGCUGUUUGUGAUUUGGGGGAACUGAUUAAUUCUAAAAAGGACAAGAGCUCUCGGGCUGCGGCACCUUCAGAGGACACAGCCUGUGCUGUGAGGUUCAGGUCGGGCAUCUAGAAAAAGCUACAAACUCUUCCCUUUCCCCACCAACCCCCAGUGCUCAGGCUUCGGGGAAAGUGCUGGGAGAGGACUUGCCGUUAUACCACAUUUCUCACCUGCCCACCUUAGCAAAAUGUGCCAGGAGCCUCCCUGGCGGGUGAGCGACUUUGGCUUAGAGGCACAGCUGGCUUUGCUGGGUCAUGUGGUGAGCGGUACCUAAUUACAGGAGGUCACAGAUUAGCCCGUCAAGGUACAGGGUGUGAAGCUUUGGGGAUCACUGACGGCUCAGGCCGCCUUUAAGAAGUGCUCCAGCACAACUCCACUUCCUUUGGCUGUUUUGUGUUCACUGCUCUUUCCUGAGGCCCCUGUUUUUCUCCAGCGAUGCAGGAUCCGCAGCGCUGGCGCUGAGCAGACGCAUCGUGUUGCACAGCAAAGCAGACACUACAGGCGAGCCGUCUCCCUUAACAAAAUGAAACAAAGCUGCAAAUAGAACCCCGCUAGCCAGCCUACCUGCUACGGCUUUUCUAGGGCUGUGGCUGUGCUCUGCACAGCUCUGCCAAGAAUAUAGUCUAAGCCUUAAAUAAGUGAGUUGGACAUAUUAACCACCACGCUUGAAACCUCCGGCAUCGCCUCCUGGAAGGUGGAAAACUCUAUGUGUGUGUCGGGGGGUCACACUCUGCCCUGAGCUCAGCGCGUCGUGGGAGACAAGGAGUGUUUAUAGGAUGGUGAUAAUGAUCGCCGCUCGGGACGCAAGCCAGACCCCUUUCAAAGCGAUAUUCCAGGUGCAGACUGGCUGCUUGUUCAGCCACCAAAGCUGGUAACACCAGUAAAUUCACAUGCAGCCACUGUGGUCUCUUACAAGAUACCAAUAUCUCACUACAAACGGCACUGAGGUUCUGGAGCAACCCCUAUGUGCAGGGGAGGAACAACUCCAGCCGCUGCUUACAAAGAACAGAAAGAGGCUAUGGAAACGUGAUCCUUCAGGCUUUGGUGGUGAUGGCACCUGAGAAAAUAUACCCAGACAACAGCAGCCUGCAAGUGAACUGGGAAAUGUCCAGCUGAACGUCCAAACAAGCACCCGCCUGCCCUCGGCAAGGCCACGGCUCAAGCACUGAUCCUGAGAGCCCAGGCCAAUCAGAAGAGUAAUAAUCCUUGCAAGUGGGCAAAGUCCAGCAUCAGAGUCCAAGAAUUGUCCAAACGCCCACAACAAGCUGACUCUGGGCCCUUUCUCAUGGCCCGUGACGACUGCUGCAUUCUCUAGAAGAUACAAUGCAAGGGGAAAGAGAGGGCGUGGGACACAAGACAAAGGUGGCCUCAUGUCCGCCCUAAUGACCUUUCUUGGCUUAAAUCAUUGAAGUGAAGGCUUUUCAGAAAUGAGGAGCAAGUCUGACCAUCCACAUUGUAAGGGCACAAGACGCAAAGACGCCUCCCUCCUAUUACUGGUGACUGCAAAGAAAAUCCUUAGCGCUGGUUUGUAAUUGCUGGCCUGUGUCACCUCCCCAGUACUUUGUGCAGAGACUGUGUGGCUCAGAUACCAGCCAGGCCUAGAACAACAUCUAUUUCCACUAAAGCUGUAUGAUUCCAGGAAAGACUAAUCUUGAACGCUGCUGCUGAAAGGAUGACAUGCAUUCACAGAGAGCCACGGAAAAUUCGGAGAGGUCUGGCCUCUCAUCAGAAGAGCUGCAUCACAGGCGCACAGACACGAGAUGCUGCAAAAAAAAAGCGGUCUUUUGAUACCAGUGGUACACAGACAUCCUGGAAGUUUUAUGCAGAACUGCAUCACCCUCACCAAGAAAACAGGUUGUGUCAUUAGCACUGGCUGCUCGAUCGCUCUGAGAGUGCACGAGGCAGAGCGCUUGCCUGGAAAAACUCAUCUUCCCUGACCUGUAGAAGGAGCUGGGUGAGCGCGCAGAUCUCCUAAACCAUUUCCUCUUCUUCGUAAUCAAUUAGCGAGAUCUCAGUGGCAAAGAUGUUUACAUAACUGCCUCACAGCUCCUGCCAGCAGCCGCCGGAUCAGACCUGGUCACAGCUCAGGCACCCGCUGUGGAUUAAGGAGCGAGCAGAUAAGGGGAGUUUGCAGAGCGCGGCAGGUAGGAGGUGCGUUCUACAGCCGAGUCCCGAGAGUGGAAGUUGCUCAGCCUGGCGACUGCCCUAAUGCUGGGAAUGCUUCCAGUUAAUGAGGACUAUAUAAAACUGCUGCUGCAGCUCCUGUCAGCAGAGUCUUUGGCUAAAGGAAGCCCUUACACACAAAAAUAAGCCUUUGUAGCCAUGCAACUCCCUCACUGCAAUUUCUAGUGGGCAAAGCCACUGUGAGGCUAAAGAGAUCUACAGUAUCUCCACAGCACCACGUAGCUCUGCCUUCUCUGCCUUCUCGUGUCCUCACCGCCUCAGGGGAGCGAUAACCCCCGUUUUCAGUGCUCUUGGUGCUCCAGGCAGACUCUGGUGUCUUUUCCUGGCCUCUCUUCACACAAAAGCAGAGCUUUGCCCCUGGGGAAUGAUGGUGGAGCCCUGGGAGCUUUCCAUCAUCCCUGCCUUACUGGCACCGCACUGAUUGCCAGGAGAGCACUUCACUCUCAUCAGAAAGACAGGACCGCUGCAGAAGAGCAGCCUGCCUUCCUCAUGGCUUUUUACCUCUCCCUGUCGUACUGCUAAGACUUCAGAUUUCCGAGCAAGUUGGAAGAUAACAGUUCUUUGUUCUUUGAACAAGUUCGGUGGAAAGUGCUGGACACAUCUGCACCAGCACAUUAUGAUUUGGGCCGGGACUGCAUGUGUACAUACCGACACCUUUGUGUAGCGGCCAACAGCUCAAACGGCAAACAGCACUAAUCCACCUCCGUGCAAACCAGCACUCCAAACAGAAUGAGGAAUGAGCAGGGAACAGAAGUUCGCCUGCUUUUCUUUGAAGGUGGUACUUUGCUGCAAAGGAGGAACUGGCUGUAAACACAGCCCUGUCCGGAGUUCACUUCACGUCCAUACUGGGGAGCUGUUCCAUUUGGAAACUGAUGCUUUCAACCAGUGAAAAGCUGAUGUUUCUUCCCUUCCCAUCUUGGUUACAUCAGGUUGUGGAGGAUCAGGACUGAGAAAUGAAAGCGACAUUUGGAGUUGUGAAAGGCCAGCUUCAUUACAUCAGCUUUAACACUCUCAUUAAGUCCCCAAGCGUUAACUUGAGCUGCUGAGGUAGAUAAAUUUGACAGGACAAACUAAUGCGGAGAGAGAUACAGCCUGAAGAACUCCCAGCAAUGCAGUCAAGAAUGCAGUGAUUGUGAAAUGGUGCAGAAAAGAAACGGUUGUGACCACACACACCCAUGUCCCCCUUGUCUAGCACCUGCUUCCAGCAACCCUCCAACAGUUUAGCUGCGGCAAAAAGUUAUGCUGGCUCUGUCAAGUACAAAAGGAGACUGUGUGUCAACACAUGCUGCCAACGCAUCGGAAUAAGCUUUCUUAACAACUAGAAACAACAGUCAAGAUCAAGGCCUCUCCCGCUGUGCUCAGGCUUCUGUGAACAGCAGCAAGGCAUAAUCCACACCUCACAGGGAGGAAUCCCAACCGCACUGAAGCGUGUGGGAGAUCUCUUGUUCUGUGGUGAUGUCAGAUUUCAGCUCCAAAGUUUAAAUCCCUCCAGCUGUCUUCUAAAGCCGUGACUGGGAGGGAUGUUUCCAGAAACCUAACGCGAGAAGCCAUCUCACAGGAAAAAAGGCACAAAGACGACUGAGCUUCUCCUGCUGAAUGAAGUGGUCACAGUUUAUCGUUCUGCUCCUGCUAAACAAGAAGCAAAAAAAAUGCCUCAGCUGGUUUUUAAGUUUUCCAGCAAGCCCUCAAAGUCCAUCUUUACUCUGUCAGGAGCUCUACUGAAGUUGAAAAAUACCCAACUAAACAAAAAAACCCCACACCAAGAAUAAAGGUUGAACUGAACGUUCAGGACUGUGCAUGCCAUAUUUUCAAUGGCUAAAUUCAGUGGUACGAAUGCAAGUUGAAAUCAAGCAAAACAGCACAAUCGCUAUACACUGCACUCCCCCAGCUGAGCGUCUGAUUCCAACCUACAGUUGUCACUUUUGCCUCAAGAAAAUAAAAUUUAAAAAAAUCUGUCCCCUGGCACUGA